UUUUUGUUUCGCGUUUUUGUCCCUCACUUUCUCCUGUUUUGUGGCACUUUUCACAUUAUAGGGAAAUGAGAUUGGUAGGUACCGAACCAAAAAAAUUUACAAGAC
rnacentral:ribozyme from 18 species